GACGAACGCUGGCGGCGUGCUUAACACAUGCAAGUCGAACGGAAAGGCCCUGCUUUUGUGGGGUGCUCGAGUGGCGAACGGGUGAGUAACACGUGAGUAACCUGCCCUUGACUUUGGGAUAACUUCAGGAAACUGGGGCUAAUACCGGAUAGGAGCUCCUGCUGCAUGGUGGGGGUUGGAAAGUUUCGGCGGUUGGGGCUGGACUCGCGGCUUAUCAGCUUGUUGGUGGGGUAGUGGUUUACCAAGGCUUUGACGGGUAGGCGGCCUGAGAGGGUGACCGGCCACCUUGGGACUGAGAUACGGCCCAGACUCCUACGGGAGGCAACAGGGGGGAAUAUUGCACAAUGGGCGGAAGCCUGAUGAAGCAACGCCGCGUGCGGGAUGACGGCCUUCGGGUUGUAAACCGCUUUCGCCUGUGACGAAGCGUGAGUGACGGUAAUGGGUAAAGAAGCACCGGCUAACUACGUG
rnacentral:rRNA from 1 species